UGGGGAAUUUUCCGCAAUGGGCGCAAGCUGACGGAGCGACGCCGCGUGAGGGAUGAAGGCCUCUGGGCUGUAAACCUCUUUUAUCAAGGAAGAAGAUCUGACGGUACUUGAUGAAUAAGCCACGGCUAAUUCCGUG
rnacentral:rRNA from 1 species